rnacentral:rRNA from 1 species
CCUACGGGUGGCAGCAGUCGAGAAUCAUUCACAAUGGGGGAAACCCUGAUGGUGCGACGCCGCGUGGGGGAAUGAAGGUCUUCGGAUUGUAAACCCCUGUCAUGUGGGAGAAAAUUAAAAAGAUAGUACCACAAGAGGAAGAGACGGCGAACGCGGUGCCAGCAGCCGCGGUAAUACAGAGGUCUCAAGCGUUGUUCGGAAUCACUGGGCGUAAAGCGUGCGGAGGCUGUGUCGUAAGUCGUGGGUGAAAGGCGCGGGCUCAACCCGCGGACGGCUCAUGAUUCUGCGAGACUAGAGUAAAGGAGAGGUAACCGGAAUUCUCGGUGUAGCAGUGAAAUGCGUAGAUAUCGAGAGGAACACUCGUGGCGAAGGCGGGUUCCUGGACAUUAACUGACGCUGAGGCACGAAGGCCAGGGGAGCGAAAGGGAUUAGAUACCCUUGUAGUC